GGGACAUGUCGGUAUGGCGAAACGACAAUGGAGGACACCCACCCGUACGAGAGUUUUAUUGAGGUUUAUUUUGAAAUCGGCCUAAAAUACAAAGACAUUCAAGCAGUGCGAUGCACGAGGAGUCUGCCAUGCAGACCAGCGAUCCUGAUCAUGUUGUCGGCCUUGGAUGAUGAGGUCCAGUUACCAGGAUCACUACUCUGCGGCUCACUGGUCCCAUCCUGCAGCUCAUCCAUGUUGUCCUCCUCUCAACAGACCAAAUCAAGAAAAGGGAAGUGGGAUGCUACUGUGGAUCUGCUGCAGUAUCUGGAGAGGUCAGAGGAACAGUUCAGAAGACACCAAGACCUGGCCACUGCCAUGCUCCAGAACAUCCAGAGACCAAGACCUGGCCACUGCCAUGCUCCAGAACAUCCAGAGUCCAAGACCUGACCACUGCCAUGCUCCAGAACAUCCAGAGUCCAAGACCUGACCACUGCCAUCCAGAGGAUGGAUGAAAAUUCAGACACCUUGGUUGGACUGAUGGGACGUACGGUGUCAGUGCUGGAGCGACUGUCCCAGAAAUAAACUGCACCGUCCACUACUUUUGCCCUUUUCUAGAAAAAAAAAUCUUCUUUUUUGUAAAUUCUUUUACGUUUUAGUUAUUUAACUUCACCUGUUUUGUAUUUUUACUCUUGCACUUUGGG
ensembl:lncRNA